rnacentral:rRNA from 1 species
CCUUCGGGAACCUGGAGACAGGUGCUGCAUGGCUGUCGUCAGCUCGUGUCGGUGAGAUGUUGGGUUAAGUCCCGCAACGAGCGCAACCCUUGCCCUUAGUUGCCAUCAUUUAGUUGGGAACUCUAAGGGGACCGCCGGUGACAAACCGGAGGAAGGUGGGGAUGACGUCAAGUCAUCAUGGCCCUUAUGACCAGGGCUACACACGUGCUACAAUGGUCGGUACAGAGGGUCGCCAACCCGCGAGGGGGAGCCAAUCCCAUAAAGACCGAUCGUAGUCCGGAUCGCAGUCUGCAACUCGACUGCGUGAAGUCGGAAUCGCUAGUAAUCGCGAAUCAGCCAUGUCCGCGGUCGAAUACGUUCCCGGGUCUU